rnacentral:rRNA from 1 species
GGCUAAGAAUGAGGUAGGGUACUGGCAACAGUGCUCUGCUGAAUAUUUUCACCCAUGUCUUUUGCGCACUUUUUGUUUCCUGGGCGAGUUUGCUCGCCACCAGGACCCCCAUAUGAACCUUUUUUGUUUUUGCACUCAGCGUCAGUACAAUAAUUUAAUCUAUUAAAACUUUCAACAACGGAUCUCUUGGUUCUGGCAUCGAUGAAGAACGCAGCGAAAUGCGAUACGUAGUGUGAAUUGCAGAAUUCAGUGAAUCAUCGAAUCUUUGAACGCACAUUGCGCCCUUUGGUAUUCCAAAGGGCAUGCCUGUUCGAGCGUCAUUUGUACCCUCAAGCUUUGCUUGGUGUUGGGCGUCUUAUUGUCUCUCCGUCUCGGGGAGACUCGCCUUAAAACAAUUGGCAGCCGGCCUACUGGUUUCGGAGCGCAGCACAAAUUUGCGCUUGCAAUCAGCCAAGGGCGGCAUCCAUGAAGCCUUUUUUCUCUCACAUUUUGACCUCCGAUCAGGUAGGGAUACCCGCUGAACUUAAGCAUAUCAAAAAUCCGGGAGAAAAUAUACCUAGAUCGAGGUG